rnacentral:rRNA from 1 species
AUUGAACGCUGGCGGCAUGCCUUACACAUGCAAGUCGAACGGCAGCACGGGAGCAAUCCUGGUGGCGAGUGGCGAACGGGUGAGCAAUGUAUCGGAACGUGCCCAGUCGUGGGGGAUAACGUAGCGAAAGCUACGCUAAUACCGCAUACGAUCUAUGGAUGAAAGCGGGAGACCGUAAGGCCUCGCGCGAUUGGAGCGGCCGAUAUCAGAUUAGGUAGUUGGUGGGGUAAAGGCCUACCAAGCCGACGAUCUGUAGCUGGUCUGAGAGGACGACCAGCCACACUGGGACUGAGACACGGCCCAGACUCCUACGGGAGGCAGCAGUGGGGAAUUUUGGACAAUGGGCGCAAGCCUGAUCCAGCAAUGCCGCGUGCAGGAUGAAGGCCUUCGGGUUGUAAACUGCUUUUGUACGGAGCGAAAAGGCUCUCUCUAAUACAGGGGGCUCAUGACGGUACCGUAAGAAUAAGCACCGGCUAACUACGUGCCAGCAGCCGCCGUAACAC